rnacentral:rRNA from 1 species
CCUACGGGUGGCAGCAGUGAGGAAUAUUGGUCAAUGGGCGCGAGCCUGAACCAGCCAAGUAGCGUGAAGGAUGACUGCCCUACGGGUUGUAAACUUCUUUUAUAAAGGAAUAAAGUGAGGCACGUGUGCCUUUUUGUAUGUACUUUAUGAAUAAGGAUUGGCUAACUCCGUGCCAGCCGCCGCGGUAAUACGGAGGAUCCGAGAGGUAUCCGGAUUUAUUGGGUUUAAAAGGAGAGUAGGUGGGUUGUUAAGUCAGUUGUGAAAGUUUGCGGCUCAACCGUAGAAUUGCAAUUGAUACUGGCAGCCUUGAGUACAGUAGAGGUAGGCGGAAUUCGUGGUGUAGCGGUGAAAUGCAUAGAUAUCACGAAGAACUCCGAUUGCGAAGGCAGCCUACUAAACUGCCACUGACAUUGAUGCUCGAAAGUGUGGGUAUCAAACAGGAUUAGAUACCCGAGUAGUC